CCUUGACCGUUGGAGAAGCUGGGACCAAGAUGAGCGCUAACCGUUGUGGCUUGGGUCAAAAAUAAUGACCACAGGUCCCCUGCGCCCUCAGCGCAAGCGCAAACGCCCAGGCCCCCCGCCCACGCCACUGGCCUAGAUCAUGGGUAUUUGUCCUUCCGAGAUAAACUCUUUUGGAGAUACAGGACUAAUGUAUGAUAUUUGGACUGAUAAUAAAGUGUUUUUAACCAUAUGCUAAAUGGUAUAGUAUAGAUUAUGGUUAGGGUUUCCUAAAAUUGAUAAAUCAUUGGCGACCACAGAGGCUUCAUGGAGCAUAGCUUUAGUUCAAGGAUGGGUAGGGGAGAGAACAGUGCAUUGGGAGCUGAAAGCUGUGUUCUCAUCCUGAUUUUGUUACUAACUGCUGAGAAAUGACCUUGGAUAAAUCUGGGUCUUGGUAUCCUCAUGUAUAAAUAGAAGGUGUUUCCUACGUCAUUUCAAGGAUUUGUUUCCAUCUUUGGCAGACUUUGAUUAUGGAGAACAUUCCAGGAAGAAGAAAACAGCAUUCUUAAAAACAAAGCAAAACUUAUGAAACUAAAUGCCUUGAUCUGUAUUUUAGCAUUAUUAUGAAUGUCUCUAAAAAAGCAAGUUGCUAAAAUUUAGAAUUGGUCAGUGAAAUAUGCAGAUGCUUCUCAUUAAACAGAAGUAUUGGCAAACAAGGUACAUUUUAUUAAGAUAUUGUAGGUAACUUUUAUUUAGGUGCACAUUCAAAUGUACCUAAAGAUUACGAGAUUUAUUGUUUGUGCAAAUCCCUCGAAGUAUUCUCCAGCAUUGAGCUAGAAAUCAUAACUUUAAGUGGUGUGACAUAUAAUGAAUACAGUUUGGCAACUACAUAUAAAAGCUAAUUUCAUUGCUUUAUAGAUAAAUCAAAAUUACCAUGUUCCUUUUAGGGAAAAUUUAAGAAGAGCCAUGUAACUUUUUUUUUUUUUUUUAAAUGUGUUUCUCUUAUGAGGUCUGAGAUUUCAACUCUACUUUCCAACUUCUAGCUUCUGGUAAGGUGUAUGCAUGGUAGCUUGGCCAUGACACUGUAGACAUCAGCAAGUUUCUAGUUGUUUCUACAUUAACCUUUGACCUAUGGACAAGAAUGGUUUUCUCCUCAUCUUAACCAUAUAAGGACAUCCAAGGAGCAGCAAGCAACCGUGUUGUAACUCACUUCAUCUGUAGUUAUCAAAUGCCACCUAGCUAACGAGGAAGAAUCAUUGUUAUCAAAUGCCACCUAGCUAACGAGGAAGAAUCAUCUGAGUUGGGCAUGAUCCCGACAAUGAAGACUUUUUAAACCUUGAGGAAGAAGGAAUUGAAGCAUAUGAAAAUGUUAAUACACUGGUUUUUAGGGCAGGUGUAAAUGUUAGAUUUUCUUAGGCAUUGAUGAUGUUGAAAUAACUGUUAAGUGGGAUAAUCAGACCCCACUUCUCAUGACUCUCCAAGAAAGGGAAUUCUGACUCCAAUUUCCAGGAGAAAAGUGAAGGCAAGAUCACAUCCCACUUCAUUUCUCCUCUCCCUUCCCUGCUCUUCAUUGAUCUGUCUGAUGGGCACUUUUGGAAUAAGAAGGCAUGCAUACCUGGCUUUGUGUUUCCUGGAUUAUUAUCUCAUUUGGCAUCUGCUCGUGGGACCCUGCUGCACUUGUCGACAUAAUCCAAAUGGAUGUCUGAGAUGAUUAAUGGAGAGAAGCAGAGAAUAUGGCUUUAGAUCUGCAACCCCAAGGACUUGCUAACACUCCACACUACUCCAGCCCUUAUUUGGCAGGCAAGAGUUCUUUUAAGUAAAGAAGAUUAUACUUGAUGAUGUAAGUGGGCCUCAUGCAAAUAGUUGACAGCCUGAAGAGCAAAAAACAUGGUUCCUGGGGAAGAAGAAAUUCUGUUACAAAACUAUAAUGGAGAAAUCUACUGAGGUUCCAGCAUGACCUGCAGAUUUUGGACUCAGGAUUGCAAUGUUAACUCUCAGCUGAGUUUCUAGCCUGCUGCCUGCCCUACAGACUUUGAACUCACCAGCUCUAAAAAUUGCAUGAGAUGAUUCCUUAAA